UCAACUUGAGAGUUUGAUCCUGGCUCAGAACGAACGCUGGCGGCAGGCCUAACACAUGCAAGUCGAGCGAGACCUUCGGGUCUAGCGGCGGACGGGUGAGUAACGCGUGGGAACGUGCCCUUCUCUACGGAAUAGUCCCGGGAAACUGGGUUUAAUACCGUAUACGCCCUUCGGGGGAAAGAUUUAUCGGAGAAGGAUCGGCCCGCGUUGGAUUAGGUAGUUGGUGGGGUAAUGGCCUACCAAGCCGACGAUCCAUAGCUGGUUUGAGAGGAUGAUCAGCCACACUGGGACUGAGACACGGCCCAGACUCCUACGGGAGGCAGCAGUGGGGAAUCUUAGACAAUGGGGGAAACCCUGAUCUAGCCAUGCC
rnacentral:rRNA from 1 species